ACAUGCAUACAGAGACUAUAAUAAGUACGAUGAUGAUAAGUUAAA
rnacentral:guide_RNA from 1 species